rnacentral:rRNA from 1 species
AUUGAACGCUGGCGGCAGGCUUAACACAUGCAAGUCGAGCGAGCGGCGGACGGGUGAGUAAUGUCUGGGAAACUGCCUGAUGGAGGGGGAUAACUACUGGAAAAGGUAGCUAAUACCGCAUACCAUCAGAUGUGCCCAGAUGGGAUUAGAUAGUGGGUGGGGUAAUGGCUCACCUAGGAGAAGAUCCCUAGCUGGUCUGAGAGGAUGAUCGGCCACACUAUGACUGAGACACGGUCCAGACUCCUACGGGAGGAAGCAGUGGGGAAUAUUGCACAAUGGGCGAAAGCCUGAUCCAGCCAUGCCGCGUGUGUGAAGAAGGCCUUCGGGUUGUAAAGCACUUUCAGCUGGGAGGCGUUACUCGCAGAAGAAGCACCGGCUAACUCCGUGCCAGCAGCCGCGGUAAUAC